GAUACAGUCGGAUAGUGGUUAUUCCGUCACAUUGCUAUGGUUGCUCUAGUAAUCAGAUGAAGAUGUGGUGCCUUCGGGCGCGUGAGUUCGAAUCUCACCUGUGUCA
rfam:Cryptococcus gattii R265 unplaced genomic scaffold supercont2.5, whole genome shotgun sequence.